rnacentral:rRNA from 1 species
ACGUAGGAGGCGAGCGUUGUCCGGAUUUAUUGGGCGUAAAGAGCGCGCAGGCGGCACCUCAAGUACGCAGUGAAAUCUCCCUGCUCAACGGGGAGGGUGCAGCGUAAACUGGGGAGCUAGAGGACGGUAGAGGGGGGUAGAAUUGCUGGUGUAGCGGUGAAAUGCGUAGAGAUCAGCAGGAAUACCCGUGGCGAAGGCGACUGCCUGGACCAGCACUGACACUGAGGCACGAAAGCGUGGGGAGCAAACAGGA